rnacentral:rRNA from 1 species
AGUGAACGCUGGCGGUAGGCCUAACACAUGCAAGUCGAACGGCAGCACAGGAGAGCUUGCUCUCUGGGUGGCGAGUGGCGGACGGGUGAGGAAUACAUCGGAAUCUGCCCAGUCGUGGGGGAUAACGUAGGGAAACUUACGCUAGUACCGCAUACGACCUUCGGGUGAAAGAGGGGGAUCGCAAGACCUCUCGCGAUUGGAUGAGCCGAUGUCGGAUUAGCUAGUUGGCGGGGUAAUGGCCCACCAAGGCGACGAUCCGUAGCUGGUCUGAGAGGAUGAUCAGCCACACUGGAACUGAGACACGGUCCAGACUCCUACGGGAGGCAGCAGUGGGGAAUAUUGGACAAUGGGCGCAAGCCUGAUCCAGCCAUACCGCGUGGGUGAAGAAGGCCUUCGGGUUGUAAAGCCCUUUUGUUGGGAAAGAAAUCUUUCAGGCUAAUACCCUGGGAGGAUGACGGUACCCAAAGAAUAAGCACCGGCUAACUUCGUG